AUUCCAGCUCCAAUAGCGUAUACUAAAGUUGUUGCAGUUAAAAAGCUCGUAGUUGAAUUUCUGGUCGUGGCGAUCGGUCCGCCCCUCACGGGGUGUGCACCUGGUCUCUAUGUCCAUCCUCGGGGAGAGCAUGCCUGGCAUUCAGUUGUCGGGUAUGGGAUCCUCGUCAUUUACUGUGAGCAAAAUAGAGUGUUCAAAGCAGGCUUAGGCCGUUGAAUACAUUAGCAUGGAAUAAUAAGAUAGGACCUUGGUCUAUUUUGUUGGUUUGCAUUCCAAGGUAAUGAUUAAUAGGGAUAGUUGGGGGUAUUCGUAUUCAAUUGUCAGAGGUGAAAUUCUUGGAUUUAUGGAAGACGAACUACUGCGAAAGCAUUUACCAAGGAUGUUUUCAUUA
rnacentral:rRNA from 1 species